rnacentral:rRNA from 1 species
CCUACGGGAGGCAGCAGUGAGGAAUAUUGGUCAAUGGCCGGAAGGCUGAACCAGCCAAGUCGCGUGAGGGAAUAAGGCCCUAUGGGUCGUAACCCUCUUUUGUCAGGGAGCAAAGGCGUCCACGUGUGGAAGAGAGAAGAGUACCUGAAGAAAAAGCAUCGGCUACCUCCGUGCCAGCAGCCGCGGUAAUAAGGAGGAUGCGAGCGUUCUCCGGAUUUAUUGGGUUUAAAGGAUGAUUAGGCGGAGUGUCAAGUCAGCGGUAAAAUUUCGGGGUUAAACCCCGUCGUGCCGUUGAAACUGACGCCCUUGAGUGAGUGAGAAGUAAGCAGAAUGCGUGGUGUAGCGGUGAAAUGCAUAGAUAUCACGCAGAACGCCGAUUGCGAAGGCAGCUUACCGGCGCUCAACUGAUGCUGAGGCACGAAAGUGCGGGUAUCGAACAGGAUUAGAUACCCGGGUAGUC